UCGAACUCUGGGGUGCAGUUGUGGUGAAU
rnacentral:piRNA from 1 species